GACGAACGCUGGCGGCGCGCCUAACACAUGCAAGUCGAACGAGCGAGAGAGAGAUUGCUUUCUUGAGCGAGUGGCGAACGGGUGAGUAACGCGUGAGGAACCUGCCUCAAAGAGGGGGACAACAGUUGGAAACGACUGCUAAUACCGCAUAAGCACACGGCGCCGCAUGGCACAGAGGGAAAAGGAGCAAUCCGCUUUGAGAUGGCCUCGCGUCCGAUUAGCUAGUUGGUGAGGUAACGGCCCACCAAGGCGACGAUCGGUAGCCGGACUGAGAGGUUGAGCGGCCACAUUGGGACUGAGACACGGCCCAGACUCCUACGGGAGGCAGCAGAGGGGAAUAUUGCACAAUGGGGGAAACGCUGAAGCAGCGACGGCGGGAGGAGGAAGAAGGUCUUCGGAUUGGAAACUCCUGUUAUAGGGGAAGAUAAUGACGGUACCCAACAAGGAAGUGACGGCUAACUACGUG
rnacentral:rRNA from 1 species